rnacentral:rRNA from 1 species
AUUGAACGCUGGCGGCAUGCCUUACACAUGCAAGUCGAACGGUAACAGGUUAAGCUGACGAGUGGCGAACGGGUGAGUAAUAUAUCGGAACGUGCCCAGUCGUGGGGGAUAACGUAGCGAAAGCUACGCUAAUACCGCAUACGGUCUACGGAUGAAAGCGGGGGAUCGCAAGACCUCGCGCGAUUGGAGCGGCCGAUAUCAGAUUAGGUUGUUGGUGAGGUAAAAGCUCACCAAGCCUGCGAUCUGUAGCUGGUCUGAGAGGACGACCAGCCACACUGGAACUGAGACACGGUCCAGACUCCUACGGGAGGCAGCAGUGGGGAAUUUUGGACAAUGGACGCAAGUCUGAUCCAGCAAUGCCGCGUGCAGGACGAAGGCCUUCGGGUUGUAAACUGCUUUUGUACGGAACGAAACGGUGAGCUCUAAUACGGUUUGCUAAUGACGGUACCGUAAGAAUAAGCACCGGCUAACUACGUGCCAGCAGCCGCCGUAA